rnacentral:rRNA from 1 species
AAUUUUGGACAAUGGGGGAAACCCUGAUCCAGCCAUCACGCGUGUAUGGUGAAGGCCUCCGGGUGGUAAAGUACUUUUGGCAGAGAAGAAAAGGUAUCUCCUAAUACGAGAUACUGCUGACGGUAUCUGCAGAAUACGCACCGGCUAACUACGUGCCAGCAGCCUCGGUAAUACGUAGGGUGAAAGUGUUAAUCGGAAUUACGGGGCGUAAAGCGUGUGUAGGCGGUUCGGAAAGAAAGAUGUGAAAUCCCAGGGCUCAACCUUGGAACUGCAUUUUUAACUGCCGAGCUAGAGUAUGUCAGAGGGGGGUAGAAUUCCACGUGUAGCAGUGAAAUGCGUAGAUAUGUGGAGGAAUACCGAUGGCGAAGGCAGCCCCCUGGGAUAAUACUGACGCUCAGACACGAAAGCGUGGGUAGCGAAC